UCGCCGGACAUAGCAAAGCAACGG
rnacentral:siRNA from 1 species